rnacentral:rRNA from 1 species
UCUAUCCUACUGAAAAUCACAAAAUAACAAGAUAGGUGCUUAUUGUGAUAACGUAAGGGAAAAAUUUGAUAUUACCUUACUAUAAGUGUUGUCUAAAUAACUGGUGCCAGAAGACUCGGUAACACCAGAAACGCGAACGUUAGUCGUCUUAAACAGGCGUAAAGGGUAAGUAGGCUGCUUUAAAUUUUUAUUUUUAUAAAAGCUAAUUAAUAAUUUGUGCUUAGUAAUAAUUUCUUGCCCCUGCAAAGCUGCUACGCAAGUAGCAGCUGCGCUAAUAACAAGCAAGUUGUAAGCUUCCUAGCGAAGCAAUAAGCUAAGUAAGGGUUGAAUCAAGCUACUAAAAAUUUUCAGAUUAAUUUAUUAAAAUUAACACUCUUAAGUUUGAAUUGCUAGCUACAACUAAAAACUUAAAUUUAUUAAUUAAAUAAAGAUAGAUAUACUUAAAGCUAGAAUCAUAAUUGAGAUAAACCAAAUAAUACUUAAGUGUAAGGGUAAAAUCUAAAAAUACUAAGUAGAAUACUAACGGUGAAAACUUUUUAUCUAGGAGUGAUUGACGCUGAGGUACGAAAGUGAGAACAGGGAAUAGGAUUAGAUACCCAGUUACCUCUCACCGUCAACGAUGAAUGGUAGUUGUUAGUAGUUAGUAGUUAGUAGUUAGUCUAGCUGCGCAAGCGAAGCAAGUAAAAAUAAUUCUCAAUUAAUUAAAUUAACAAGCAAUAGCGAAGCAAGUAGAUAUUACUAGCAACUUCAAUUAAAACUAGUGACGAUGUUAACGCGAUAACCAUUCCGCCUUGAGAGUACGGUUGCAAAACUGAAACCAAAAAAAUUCAGUCGGUACUAGGGAGUCAAAAUCGA